UACGUAGGGGGCAAGCGUUGUCCGGAUUUAUUGGGCGUAAAGAGCGUGUAGGCGGCUUGGUAGGUCCGCUGUGAAAACUCGAGGCUCAACCUCGAGACGCCGAUGGAAACCGUCUGGCUAGAGUCCGGAAGAGGGGAGUGGAAUUCCUGGUGUAGCGGUGAAAUGCGCAGAUAUCAGAAAGAACACCCGUGGCUAAGGCGGCUCUCUAGUACGGUACUGACGCUGAGACGCGAAAGCGUGGGGAGCGAACAGG
rnacentral:rRNA from 1 species